GGAAUAUUGCACAAUGGGAGGAACCCUGAAGCAGCAACGCCGCGUGAGUGAAGAAGUAUUUCGGUACGUAAAGCUCUAUCAGCAGGGAAGAAAAUGACGGUACCUGACUAAGACGCCCCGGCUAAAUACGUGCCAGCAGCCGCGGUAAUACGUAUGGAGCAAGCGUUAUCCGGAUUUACUGGGUGUAAAGGGAGCGCAGGCGGUACGGCAAGUCCGAUGUGAGAGCCCGGGGCUCAACCCCGGGACUGCAUUGAAAACUGCCGCACUAGAGUGCCGGAGAGGUAAGUGGAAUUCCUAGUGUAGCGGUGAAAUGCGUAGAUAUUAGGAGGAACACCAGUGGCGAAGGCGGCUUACUGGACGGUAACUGACGCUGAGGCUCGAAAGCGUGGGGAGCAAACA
rnacentral:rRNA from 1 species